GCACAGGAGAGCUUGCUCUCUGGGCGACGAGCGGCGGACGGNUGAGNAAUGNCUGGGAAACUGCCUGAUGGAGGGGGAUAACUACUGGAAACGGUAGCUAAUACCGCAUAACGUCUUCGGACCAAAGUGGGGGACCUUCGGGCCUCACGCCAUCAGAUGUGCCCAGAUGGGAUUAGCUAGUAGGUGGGGCAACGGCUCACCUAGGCGACGAUCCCUAGCUGGUCUGAGAGGAUGACCAGCCACACUGGAACUGAGACACGGUCCAGACUCCUACGGGAGGCAGCAGUGGNNAAUAUUGCACAAUGGUCNCAAGCCUGAUGCAGCC
rnacentral:rRNA from 1 species